GAAACCGGAGCUAAUACCGGAUACGUUCUUUUCUCGCAUGAGAGAAGAUGGAAAGACGGUUUACGCUGUCACUUAUAGAUGGGCCCGCGGCGCAUUAGCUAGUUGGUGAGGUAAUGGCUCACCAAGGCGACGAUGCGUAGCCGACCUGAGAGGGUGAUCGGCCACACUGGGACUGAGACACGGCCCAGACUCCUACGGGAGGCAGCAGUAGGGAAUCUUCCGCAAUGGACGAAAGUCUGACGGAGCAACGCCGCGUGAACGAAGAAGGCCUUCGGGUCGUAAAGUUCUGUUGUUAGGGAAGAACAAGUACCAGAGUAACUGCUGGUACCUUGACGGUACCUAACCAGAAAGCCACGGCUAACUACGUGCCAGCAGCCGCGGUAAUACGUAGGUGGCAAGCGUUGUCCGGAAUUAUUGGGCGUAAAGCGCGCGCAGGUGGUUCCUUAAGUCUGAUGUGAAAGCCCACGGCUCAACCGUGGAGGGUCAUUGGAAACUGGGGAACUUGAGUGCAGAAGAGGAAAGUGGAAUUCC
rnacentral:rRNA from 2 species